rnacentral:rRNA from 1 species
AUGUGCAAUGAUAUGAUAGAGUUGAAGAAUGCGAAGGCAAGGAUCAUCGAGUUAGAAGGAGAACUGAAGGCUACACGAAAGGACUACAUGGACGAGAUCGUAGCUCUAGCAAGACACAAUGAUGAUCUUAAGCAGGAGAUUGAAGAACUCAAGGGGAAGUUAGCAUCCAGGAAGGAAGACAUCUAUGUCGCAUGUCCGGACAACUACAUCAUCAUCGACGACACCGAUUCGGAUCCAAGUGAACCCGACUUUGAAGACGAAGCUGGAGCAGACAUCAUGGAGUCUUCCACCGAUUCAAAUUUCUAG